CCUACGGGGUGCAGCAGUGAGGAAUAUUGGUCAAUGGACGAGAGUCUGAACCAGCCAAGUAGCGUGAAGGAUGACUGCCCUAUGGGUUGUAAACUUCUUUUAUAUGGGAAUAAAACGUUCCACGUGUGGGAUUUUGUAUGUACCAUAUGAAUAAGGAUCGGCUAACUCCGUGCCAGCAGCCGCGGUAAUACGGAGGAUCCGAGCGUUAUCCGGAUUUAUUGGGUUUAAAGGGAGCGUAGGUGGGUUGUUAAGUCAGUUGUGAAAGUUUGCGGCUCAACCGUAAAAUUGCAGUUGAAACUGGCAGUCUUGAGUAUAGUAGAGGUGGGCGGAAUUCGUGGUGUAGCGGUGAAAUGCUUAGAUAUCACGAAGAACUCCGAUUGCGAAGGCAGUUCACUGGACUGCAACUGACACUGAGGCUCGAAAGUGUGGGUAUCAAACAGGAUUAGAUACCCCAGUAGUC
rnacentral:rRNA from 1 species